rnacentral:tRNA from 1 species
ACGCAUAUAGUUUAAUGGUAGAACACCCAGUCAGAAAGUGUGAGCAAGUCCCUCGGAAUUUUCGAAUUCCGUUGCUGCCGUCGACGUUUAGCGCGGUUUGAUUUCAGGAGCUCUACCGUGAGUACUGGGGAUGUGAGUUCGAAUCUUACUAUGCCUA